rnacentral:rRNA from 1 species
UACGUAGGGUGCAAGCGUUAAUCGGAAUUACUGGGCGUAAAGCGUGCGCAGGCGGUUUUGUAAGUUUGUCGUGAAAGCCCCGGGCUCAACCUGGGAAUUGCGAUGAAGACUGCAAGGCUUGAAUCUGGCAGAGGGGGGUAGAAUUCCACGUGUAGCAGUGAAAUGCGUAGAUAUGAUGGAGGAACACCGAUGGCGAAGGCAGCCCCCUGGGUCAAGAUUGACGCUCAUGCACGAAAGCGUGGGGAGCAAACAGG